rnacentral:snRNA from 1 species
AAUCAAUCAUCGGUUUAUAUCUC